CGCCCCGGGGGAGCGGAACGAGCCUCCCCCGCCCGGAGCGCGGCCUGGGCGGGCCGAGGGGCUCCGAUCGCUCUGCCCCGACCGCGGAAGGGAAUAUUGAAGGCUGAAGCCCCGAAGAGCCAGGCACGGUAUAAACACAGAGUGAAAGCCUUUCUCUUCCCCAAGUCCUCGCUGUCUAAGUAGCCAAGACAAAGAACAGAAGGCAGUACGAUUUUUCUUACACAAGUUCAGGGUAUGAAGCAUGGGAGUUUAGCUUGGCUUGUCCAACACUGCAUAAGGAAAGUCUCCCUUCGAGCUGGGAGCUGAAUGCAGAUUUCCUGCCUUAAUCUCAAGACUACCUUCUCAAACAGCAAUGAACAACCUUGAGGCUUUAAGGAGGUUUCUUGCAAAAGGGGGAAGAUAAACGACACCAAUAGGAUUGAAGGCGCAGCCCCACAGACACCGAUGCUGGGACAAGGAUGGCUCCAGAGAGCAGAGCCUGCAGCAACAGGGAGGGGGAUCCAUCCCUCACAUUCGUAAAGGGAUAUUUCAGUCACUGCCCAUGUCAGAGGUCCCUCUGUCUCCAGCCAAAUCACAACAGCUUUUAACUCCAUGCAUUAAACUUUCUCUCCUUUCCUCCACCCACAUCCCCAAAGUCAUUAUCAUCACCCACCAACUGAACAGUCAUUUCCAAGGUACCUCUCAGACACCAAAAAAAAAAAAAUCCUCCCCAAAAUAUAAAAGCCAGUGUUUGGAU